rnacentral:rRNA from 1 species
ACGGAAGGCAGCAGUAGGGAAUAUUGCACAAUGGGGGAAACCCUGAUGCAGCAACGCCACGUGUGGGACAAGCAUUUCGGUGUGUAAACCACUGUCGUGAGGGAAUAAUGCUUGGUUUCGGCCAAGUUGAAUGUACCUCGAAAGGAAGCACCGGCAAACUUCGUGCCAGCAGCCGCGGUAAUACGAGGGGUGCAAGCGUUGUUCGGAAUCACUGGGCGUAAAGGGAGCGCAGGCGGAGAUGCAAGCAGUCUGUACAAUACCGGGGCCCAACCCCGGACCUGCAGACUGGACUGUUUCACUUGGAUAGUUCAGGGGCAAGCGGAAUUCCUGGUGUAGCGGUGGAAUGCGUAGAGAUCAGGAAGAACACCGAUGGCGAAGGCAGCUUGCUGGGGACUUAUCGACGCUCAUGCUCGAAAGUGCGGGUAGCAAACAGGAUUAGAUACCCUGGUA